rnacentral:rRNA from 1 species
AGCGAACGCUGGCGGCAGGCUUAACACAUGCAAGUCGAACGCCCCGCAAGGGGAGUGGCAGACGGGUGAGUAACACGUGGGAACGUACCCUUUGGUUCGGAAUAACUUGGGGAAACUCAAGCUAAUACCGGAUAAGCCCUUAUGGGGGAAAGGUUUACUGCCGAAGGAUCGGCCCGCGUCUGAUUAGCUAGUUGGUGAGGUAAUGGCUCACCAAGGCGACGAUCAGUAGCUGGUCUGAGAGGAUGAUCAGCCACACUGGGACUGAGACACGGCCCAGACUCCUACGGGAGGCAGCAGUGGGGAAUAUUGGACAAUGGGGGCAACCCUGAUCCAGCCAUGCCGCGUGGGUGAUGAAGGCCUUAGGGUUGUAAAGCUCUUUUACCCGGGACGAUAAUGACUGUACCGGGAGAAUAAGCCCCGGCUAACUUCGUGCCAGCCGCCGCCGUAA